CCUACGGGUGGCAGCAGUGAGGAAUAUUGGUCAAUGGGCGCGAGCCUGAACCAGCCAUGUAGCGUGCAGGAUGACUGCCCUACGGGUUGUACACUUCUUUUAUACAGGAAUAAAGUGAGGCACGUGUGCCUUUUUGUAUGUACUUUAUGAAUAAGGAUCGGCUAACUCCGUGCCAGCAGCCGCGGUAAUACGGAGGAUCCGAGCGUUAUCCGGAUUUAUUGGGUUUAAAGGGAGCGUAGACGGGUUGUUAAGUCAGUUGUGAAAGUUUGAGGCUCAACCGUAAAAUUGCAAUUGAUACUGGCAGGCUAGAGAGCAGUUGAGGUAGGCGGAAUUCGUGGUGUAGCGGUGAAAUGCUUAGAUAUUGCACAGAACACCGAUUGCGAAGGCAGCAUACCGGGGGAGAUCUGACGCUGAGGCACGAAAGCGUGGGGAUCGAACAGGAUUAGAUACCCGAGUAGUC
rnacentral:rRNA from 1 species